rnacentral:lncRNA from 10 species
UACAGAUGUGAGCAGGACCAUUCCUGGCCUCCCGGCUCUGAGGAGGCGAAGCGCAGGCCCACAGCUGUGCGGCAGGAGCCACCCUCACAGCAGAGCCGGUGUAGACGCUUGAACGGCUCCUGCAGACACUCCCCUCUCCCCCUCUUAAAAAAACAAAUGCCCUGGCCUCCAUAGCCCCCAACAUACCUGCUUGUGCCCUCCUCUCUCCACUGGUAUCACAAACAGAAACAUCAAUCUGCCUUUGUUUUGCCAGAGGGGCAAGGCUGUGGAACCCCAGAAGACAGGCCUCUGAGAGGACCCGGGUCACCCGGACCUGGACUCAAAUCCCAUCCCUGUACCUCUCCUUGGAUGAACCAUCGAACACUGAGCUUCCAUUUUGCAUCUUCCAACUGCACAGAGAAUUCAUAGGCAAGCGGAGGCCUGAUGUGGAACUAAUGGGGCUCUGCGUCAUGGGCAACUAAACCUGGAGGGGGCACCGUGCCCGGUUCUCCCAGAGAAGAGAAGAAGGACUGGGCAGACAGCUCUCCAUCUCUCUGUGGAGGCCUCCCCUCCCACUUCCUUCCCCAACACCCCACCUCCACCUGCUGCUUCCAACCCCCAGCCCUGUUGGUUCUAGAAAGUUUGGUUGUUAUCCAGCAGGAGGAUGAGGACUGGUUUAGAGCAGAGCCAUUAAACUACAACCUGUGGGCCAAAGCUGGCCCACCCCUUGUUUUUCUAAAUAAAGUUUUAUUGAAAC